rnacentral:rRNA from 1 species
UUUUAAAGUAAUUAAGGGCACACGGUGGAUGCCUUGGGUCUGAGAGGCGAUGAAGGACGCGAUAAGCUGCGAUAAGCUUCGGGGAUUGGCACAUACGAUUUGAUCCGAAGAUUUCCGAAUGGGACAACCCAUUCUAUUGAAGAUAGAAUAUCCGUUAUUUACGGAAGCCAACGUAGAGAACUGAAACAUCUAAGUAUCUACAGGAAAAGAAAACAAUUUAGUGAUUUCCCGAGUAGUGGCGAGCGAAAAGGAAAUAGCCCAAACCAAAGAGGCUUGCUUCUUUGGGGUUGUAGGACUACAAUCUGGACUAAUAAUGCAAAACAGAAACUUCUGGAAAGUUGUACCAUAGAGAGUGAUAGUCUCGUAAGUGUAAGCAUUAUUUACCUAGUAGUAUCCUGAGUAAGGCGGGGUCGGAGAAGCCCUGUCUGAAUCCGGCAGCACCAUCUGCCAAGGCUAAAUACUACUCAGACACCGAUAGCGAACUAGUACUGUGAAGGAAAGGUGAAAAGAACCGCGAACAGCGGAGUGAAAUAGAACCUGAAACCGUGUGCUUACAAGCGGUCAGAAGAACUUCGUGUUCCGAUGACGUGCCUUUUGCAUAAUGAUCCUACGAGUUGCUCGUUACUGGCAAGGUUAAUUCCGUAAACGGAAGUAGCCGCAGCGAAAGCAAGUCUUAACAGGGCGUAUAGUCAGUAGCGGCAGACGCGAAACCUUGUGAUCUACCCAUGAGCAGGAUGAAGUUUCGGUAACACGAAAUGGAGGUCCGAACUGAUUGGCGUUGAAAAGCCACCGGAUGACUUGUGGGUAGGGGUGAAAGGCUAAUCAAACUGGGAGAUAGCUCGUACUCCCCGAAAUGCUUUUAGGAGCAGCGUUAUUUCGAGUUAUACAGAGGUAGAGCUACCGAUUGGGCUAGGGGGCUUCACCGCCUACCAAACCCUGAUGAACUCCGAAUUCUGUAUAAUAUAAAUAGCAGUGAGCCUGCGGGUGAUAAGGUCCGUAGGCGAGAGGGAAACAACCCAGACCAUCAGCUAAGGUCCCUAAAUCUAUAUUAAGUUGUGUACAAACGAUGUUCGAUUGCUAUAACAGCCAGGAUGUUUGCUUGGAAGCAGCAAUCAUUUAAAGAGUGCGUAACAGCUCACUGGUCGAGUGAUCGAGCGCGGAAGAAUAACCGGGCAUCAAAUAUAGUACCGAAGCUAUGGCUUUCGUUUUAUUACGAAGGGGUAGGGGAGCAUUCCGGCAACUGCGAAGAUGAAGCGUGAGCUUUGUUGGAGUAGCCGGAAAAGAAAAUGUAGGAAUGAGUAACGAUUAAAAAGGUGAAAAACCUUUUCCACGUAAACCUAAGGGUUCCUGAUCAACGUUAAUCGGAUCAGGGUUAGUCGAAUCCUAAGGACCAGCCGAAAGGUGACCUCCGAUGGAAAAGCAGUUAAUAUUCUGCUACUUGCUUAAAUUUCGAUGGGGUAACGGAGAAGUGAAAGUUGCACGUUCUGACGGAUUAGAACGUUUAAGCACUUAGGUAUAUUCAGAGUAGGUAAAUCCGCUUUGAAUGCUGAAAUGCGAGUAAUAACAGAGCCCUCGGGCAAUGGAAGCAACCUAAUCAGGCUCCCAAGAAAAACCUCUAAGGCUAGGUUUAAGCAAUUCGUACCGUAAAUCGACACAGAUGGGUGAGGAGAAUAUCCUAAGUGGCUCGGGUGAGCCGCGGCUAAGGAAUUCGGCAAAAUUGUCCUGUAACUUCGGAAGAAAGGACUCCCCGCUUUGGCGGGGACGCAGUGAAAAGGCCCAGGCGACUGUUUAACAAAAACACAGGACUCUGCUAAAUCGAAAGAUGAUGUAUAGGGUCUGACACCUGCCCGGUGCUGGAAGGUUAAGGAAGGCGGUUAGCGCAAGCGAAGCUGUCGACCGAAGCCCCAGUAAACGGCGGCCGUAACUAUAACGGUCCUAAGGUAGCGAAAUUCCUUGUCGGGUAAGUUCCGACCUGCACGAAUGGUGUAACGAUCUGGGCACUGUCUCAGCCGCGAGCCCGGUGAAAUUGAAGUCUCGGUGAAGAUGCCGAGUACCCGCAACGGGACGGAAAGACCCCAUGCACCUUCACUACAACUUAGCAUUGGAUUUGAUUAAAUGAUGUGUAGGAUAGGUGGGAGACUUUGAAGCGGUGGCGCCAGCCAUCGUGGAGUCAACCUUGAAAUACCACCCUUUAUUUGAUUAGAUUCUAAUCCCGAGAAAAGGGAGACAUUGCUUGGUGGGUAGUUUGACUGGGGUGGUCGCCUCCCAAAAUGUAACGGAGGCUUACAAAGGUACCCUCAGCACGCUUAGUAACCGUGCGUAGAGUGCAAUGGCACAAGGGUGCUUGACUGCAAGACAAACACGUCAAGCAGGGACGAAAGUCGGUCAUAGUGAUCCGGUGGUUCCGAAUGGAAGGGCCAUCGCUCAUAGGAUAAAAGGUACGCUGGGGAUAACAGGCUGAUCUCCCCCAAGAGCUCACAUCGACGGGGAGGUUUGGCACCUCGAUGUCGGCUCGUCACAUCCUGGGGCUGGAGAAGGUCCCAAGGGUUGAGCUGUUCGCUCAUUAAAGUGGCACGCGAGCUGGGUUCAGAACGUCGCAAGACAGUUCGGUCCCUAUCUGUUGCGGGCGUUAGAAAGUUGAAAGGAGCUGACUCUAGUACGAGAGGACCGUGUCGGACGAACCUCUGGUGUAUCUGUUGUGGCGCCAGCUGCAUCGCAGAGUAGCUAUGUUCGGAAGGGAUAAGCGCUGAAAGCAUCUAAGCACGAAGCCCACCUUAAGAUGAGCUUUCUUUUAAGAAGCGUAGAAGAUUACUACGUUGAUAGGUCGCAGGUGUAAAGGUGGUAACAUCAAAGCCGAGCGAUACUAAUUAUUCGUACGCUUUUUCUU